CUGAAUAAUACUCUUCCUCUCCCGCUGGAGAAACUGGGAGGUUUGGCUGGCACAGCUGAGCGGUUCGUGACCCGAUUCCAGGCCCCUGAGCCUCUCUACCUGUGCUGGAGCUUAGAGUCUGCACAGACACCAGGGUCCAGCUUAGAUAUAUGCAAAUCCUGAUUUUUCUCUGAACAGUGAAGCCUGAACAUACUGAAGACCAGUGUGGCUGGAGGAUAUAAGAGAAGAAGAUGAACAGGAUGGUGUUAGAGAGCAUGCUGAGACAAACACAUAAGGGCCUGGAAAACCAAAGUAAGGAUUCAGGAUUGCAGUCUGAUAGAAAGGUAUUGAUAAUCAGGGGAUGAUAUUAUCUGACAUACCAAAAAGAUACAUCUGCUGCUGGGGAAAGAAUUGAUCAUCAAUGUCCAAAGGGGAAAGCAAGAAGACCUGAAUAUUACUGGAAUAGUUCAGGCACAGAGCCAACUUGCUAAUUAGAUUGCAUAUGGGGAGCAAGACAUUCAGCAGUUAAGUAGAUGGUGCCAUUUACUGAAAGGAGAUGACUAUGGGAGCUAUGUUUGAAGGGAAAGUCAAGAGUUCUUUUGGUGGUAUUGAUUUUGGCUGUCCAAAUGAGCAUCCAAGUGAAGAUUUAAGUAGGAAGUCUAGAUUAUAAGAAUGAAAUUCAUUACAGAGGUGGGGCUGGAGACAGAUAUGGGAAUCAUGGGCAAAUAAAAAAACCAUAGAACCAGAUGAGAUACAUUGUGGAAGAAGAGGACCAAGGCCCAAGACAUAGGUCCUGCAACAUUUAGAAAUCAAACAGAGAGAACAUGCCCAAAAGGGUAACUGAGAAGGAAUGGUUAGAGAGUAAGCAGAAAAUCAGAGAAUAUGGUGAUACAAAACAACCAAAAGAAUAUGGUGUUUCAAAGAUCAAGGCUGCCAAAGACUGCCAAAAAAUGGAAAAGCACAAGGACAGAUGAGAGACCACUGGGUUUGACAUCGUGGAUGGAACCAGUAGCCUUGAAAAAGUUUCCACUAGUUUUGGGGGACAGAAGAUUGACUAAAGUAGAUUUGAGAAAGAAUGGAAAGUGGCAGGGUGGAAACUAAGGCCAAUGUGCAUAUGAAGGGAGCAGAAAAAUGAGAUCACAGUUAUAGAGGGGCAGAACAUUAGAGGAAAGCUUUUUACCUUUAAGGUGGGAGCUACUAUAACUUUUUUAUAAGCUGAGAAAGAAAUGAUCCUAUAGAGGGGGAAAAGCUGAUGAUACAAGGAAAAGAGGUAUCUGUGAGUUAAGUCCUUGAGAAAGUGAGGAGUGUUAUCCCUUCGAGUGGAGCUUGGGCACAUCAUCUGUAGUAACAGGAUGAAAGCAAAAAAUACAGGUACAGAUACCUAUAAAUUGGUAGAUUUAGUAGAAGGAAAAGAAAAAGGUCUUGUCUGGAUUGCUUCUAGUUUCUCAGGAACCACAAUGAAUAGUGAAAAGGCAAUGAGAAAAUGAUGCUUUUGGAAAUUUGAAGAAAGAUGAGAAGAUAGGAAACUCAAUAUUUUUCAGUUUUACAACCCCAAAAUAUCAACUUAGUGUGCCUAAUCUAACAAAUAUCCAAUGCUAUUCUGAAAGUAUGAAGAUAAUUUCUCAGCACGUAUCUUUCUACAACAAAUGGACCAGCUAAAACAGGGAGUCCCCCCUGCAAUAUCUGAGCCACCAAAUAGCAAACAGUUCACUUGUGUUCUGAAGCUAUACAAGGACUGAUCAAAAUAUUUGUUCAUCAAAGAACCACAUUUCACCCUUCUGUAGUGUGUAUCCCCCACAAUAUGAUAUUACCAUAUCAUAUCUAAAAUUUAUUGAAAUAUUACCAUGUG